UGAGGAAUAUUGGUCAAUGGACGAAAGUCUGAACCAGCCAUCCCGCGUGCAGGAAGAAUGCGCUAUGCGUUGUAAACUGCUUUUCCAGGGGAAGAAAACCUCCGAUGUAUCGGGGCUUGCCGGUACCCUGGGAAUAAGCAUCGGCUAACUCCGUGCCAGCAGCCGCGGUAAUACGGAGGAUGCGAGCGUUAUCCGGAUUCAUUGGGUUUAAAGGGUGCGUAGGCGGACUUAUAAGUCAGUGGUGAAAACCUGCAGCUUAACUGUAGAACUGCCAUUGAUACUGUUAGUCUUGAGUAUGGUCAAGGUAGGCGGAAUGUGUAAUGUAGCGGUGAAAUGCUUAGAUAUUACACAGAACACCGAUUGCGAAGGCAGCUUGCUGGGCCAUUACUGACGCUGAUGCACGAAAGCGUGGGGAGCAAACAGGAUUAGAUACCCUGGUAGUCCACGCCGUAAACGAUGAUCACUCGCUGUUGGCGAUACACAGUCAGCGGCUAAGCAAAAGCAUUAAGUGAUCCACCUGGGGAGUACGGCCGCAAGGCUG
rnacentral:rRNA from 1 species